GUAGGUGGCAAGCGUUGUCCGGAAUUAUUGGGCGUAAAGCGCGCGCAGGCGGUUCUUUAAGUCUGAUGUGAAAGCCCACGGCUCAACCGUGGAGGGUCAUUGGAAACUGGAGAACUUGAGUACAGAAGAGGAAAGCGGAACUCCACGUGUAGCGGUGAAAUGCGUAGAGAUGUGGAGGAACACCAGUGGCGAAGGCGGCUUUCUGGUCUGUAACUGACGCUGAGGCGCGAAAGCGUGGGGAGCAAACAGGAUUAGAUACCCUGGUAGUCCACGCCGUAAACGAUGAGUGCUAAGUGUUAGGGGGGUUUUCCGCCCCCCUUAGUGCUGCAGCUAACGCAUUAAGCACUCCGCCUGGGAGUACGGCCGCAAGGCUG
rnacentral:rRNA from 1 species